CCGGCUGCAGCGGCCCCGCGCGGUGUGUCCAGGCCGCGGCGGCCCCGGCCCAGGGGACAGACGAGCUGCGCGGCCCAGAAGCGGGCAGCGCACGGAAUGAUCAACUUUUGCCCCCAAUGUGGCCAGAAAGUAGAGACAGCAUUUCAUUUCUGCCCUGUCUGUGGGAAUAAGCUGCCUAAAGAAGAUGAUGAGGAACCAAUGCAACUCACUCCAGAUGUAUCUUUGUCCUCUCUGAAAGCCCUGAGGCAGAAUGAGCCAGUUCCAGAAACAAGAAAGACAGUGGAGUGGAUAUCUUCUGAGAAAAUACCAGCUUCCACUUCGACUGAAGAGGAGGUUUGGAGCCCACAGGCUGCUUCCCCAAGUACCAAGGUGACAUCCAAGGCAAAGUUCAGUCCCCGAUCUCCCCGGCGGCUCAAAUCCACCUCCGUGACACCUCUCCCAGAAGGCAAGAUUCUGACCGACCAGAAUAGCAAGCAGUGGAAACUGGGGAAGCUUCUGAACCAGAGCGUGUGUGGGCUGAUGUACGAAGCACAAUCAGCGUCUGGAGCCUGCCCUCAAAAGCAAAGAUACUUUCUCAAACUUGACGCCAAAGAUGGCAGGAUCUACAAUGAGCAGAUCUUCCUGCAGCGAGCAGCAAAGAAAAUCACAGUGGAUAAGUGGAAGAGGAUGCACUCGGUGCCCUUGCUGGGGAUUCCAAAUUGCAUUGGCUUUGGACUCCAUGAGAGUAACUACAGGUUUCUGGUGUUCCCUGAGUUAGGGCGAACUGUUCAGUCAAUCCUGGGCGAUGGCACAAACCUACUGACGGAGAAACCGGUUUUCCAGAUCGCCAUCAGGGUGCUAGACUCUCUGGAAUACAUCCAUGGAAACGAGUAUGUGCAUGGGGACGUCACAGCAGAGAACAUCUAUGUGAACCCAGACGACCUCGCAGAGGUCACCCUGGCGGGUUACUGCUUUGCAUUCCGAUACUGCCCGGGAGGAAAGCACGUGGCUCAGUGUCAAGGCAGCAGGACUCCUCACGAGGGCACCAUUGAGUUCAUCAGCCUGGAUGGGCACAGGGGAGCUGGACCAUCUCGCCGGAGUGACCUACAGUCUCUGGGCUACUGCAUGGUGAAGUGGCUGUGUGGCUUCCUGCCCUGGACUGAUGACCUGGCUGAUGUGCACAAGGUCAUGGAGCAGAAAGAGAGGUACCAAAUGGAUGUGGUCGGGCUUCUGCGACAGUGCUUCGGCCGAAAACCGAUUCCAGAUGCUCUGCACAACUACCUGCAGCAAGCAAUGGCCUUGGCCUUUGAAGAGGAGCCAGACUACGAGGCACUGCGAAAGCUCUUGGGGAAACCGCUGGAGAUGAAGAGAGCUUCAGCUUAUGACUCAGUGGACCUCAAGGUGGUGCCUUAGGUAAGGCGUUUCCUAGGGGGGUAGCAGGUUGGGGGACGCACAGUCAUGCCCCCACCGCAGGAAUAAUGGAAUAUGGUACUUCAGCUGGCAGUGGUGACCAUGGCCUUGUUAUCUGAUCUUCCCUCCGCACAUGAGUCUAACAUGGUAAGCAGGGAGGAGGCUUCUCUCUGCGCUGGGUGUGAAGAUCUAGAAGGAGGGCUGAAGGGACUCUGACUGCUCCAGUGGGGCUUGUGUUAACCCUUAGAGCACCAAGGAUGCUCAUUUUCCGUUCCUCAGCCUUCCCUCCCACCUCUUUGUGAUCAGUUUCCUUCCCAUCUCCAGUUGUGUUGAGAAUGGGCGCUGGGUCUUGUGGAGAACAUGCAUGUGGGUUCAAGGAAAAUUUUUGGCAGCAGGGAAUAGUGCUUCCUGUCAGGAAGAGUGAUGUCCCACCCUGCUUCCUCACAGCUGGGGAGCCUCACAUGCUGGCCUCCGGUCUCUCUCCCUAACACUGUUCUCAUUUAUCGUCAUCAGGCAACUCAGCAGUUCUGAAAUGGUUAAGAUGUCCUGAGGGUCACUUCUCAGUACAAGGGGAGCUGGUUGGCUGGCUUGCUGUUCCCAAAGGCUGGAGCAAGAUCUCAAGAAACUGACAAACUGUGAGAGGUUUAACCUAUUGGAAGGGCCCUGCUCUGGGGCAGCCAGCUCCUGCUGUCCUUCAUUACACACCUGUUCUAGACUUCCUUGGGAGUUUAUAGGGAUUGUUUUUAGGGCUUUUACAGUGAUUUUUAGAAAGCUGACUUCUGAGCCAGUGCUGUAGCUUAAUGAGCUCCAGCUAAUGUGAAGACUAAACUCCUGCUUGGCAGAUGGCUGCCCCAACCACUGUUUGCAACUACCUAGCAACUGGGAGCGUUGCCAUACUGACACGCUGAGCCCGGUGAAGGGAAAAGAAAUCAGGGGUUUAAAAUGUUUGUAUCCUGCCUAAUAAACACUGUUUGUUUUGUAAUAAACGCUUUGUGGAUGGA